rnacentral:lncRNA from 1 species
UGUAACUGUGCUUUCCUUACCAAGGGUGGGUGUUUAAUCAGGUAUGAGUGGCAUCAGAGCCAAAUGAAUCAUAGAAUCACAGCAUCAUUAGGGUUGGAAGAGACCUCCAAGACCAUCUGGUCCAACCAUCACCCUACUGCCAGUGUUACCCACUAAACCAUGUCCCUAAGCACCACGUCCAACCUUUCCUUGAACACCCCCAGGGACGGUGACUCCACCACCUCCCUGGGCAACCCGUUCCAGUGCCUGACUGCUCUUUCUGAGAAGAAAUGUCUCCUCAUUUCCAACCUAAACAUCCCCUGGCACAACUUGAGGCCAUUCCCCCUAGUCCUAUCACUAUUUACGUGUGAGAAGAGGCUGACCCCUGCUACCCACAACUUCCAUUGUAAAAUGAAAGCACUGCAUGCUUUGCUUGAAGAUGGAGGAAGCCAGCAACAUAGCAGCAGAAGGGACCAAGGAAGGGUGGCGAGGCCCUCACCUUGCUCCCUGCUCUCCUGGCAGAAAGAUCUACCUGAAAAAAAGAGUGCCCUUCGAACAUUAGUUUCCCCAACCCUGAGCAGAGUCCUAUCAUAACCUUGACAUCAGUGGUAGGGAAGAGUUUCUUGUGCAGGCAUCCUGGUGUGACUUGCCAUUGAUUUUUGCUCACCUUGAAGAAGUUGGCUAUUUAUCUGUUUGGUUACUGUUAUUCUUCAGUUUUUGUUCCUUGCUGUGAGCUAACAAGAAGAAACUUGACUGACUGACUGACUUUCCCAAAUAAAGCUUCUGUGAGGAUCA